CGCGUAGGUGGUUCGUUAAGUUGGAUGUGAAAGCCCCGGGCUCAACCUGGGAACUGCAUCCAAAACUGGCGAGCUAGAGUAUGGCAGAGGGUGGUGGAAUUUCCUGUGUAGCGGUGAAAUGCGUAGAUAUAGGAAGGAACACCAGUGGCGAAGGCGACCACCUGGGCUAAUACUGACACUGAGGUGCGAAAGCGUGGGGAGCAAACAGGAUUAGAUACCCGCGUA
rnacentral:rRNA from 1 species